rnacentral:lncRNA from 1 species
AAUUCGUAAUCUUCCGCUUCACAUCCACGGCCUUGGCCUUCACAUUCGCCUCCUGAAUCCCAUCGAGACACGUCUCGUCAUCCGUGAGGGCGGCGCUCAGCCACGUCUGGGCAUUGCUCAUCUGGAAUCGAAACGUCUCCUUCCGGAGGUGGUGCAGCUCGGCGAGCGUCUCGCUCAGCUCGUCCACCGACGUCGACAUCAGGUCCACGCAGUCGCCGAUCGCCGAGAGCUGCAGCUUCGUCCCCUUGAAGGAGGCGGAGAGCUGGGCGAGGAAGCCGGAGACGCGGAGUGAGCGGGCGAGGCUAACGUUCACAGCGGCCUGGGCGAGGUCGCGGGGGGUCUUGGCGGGGCCGGCGUAGUUGGAUAGAGUGCGGAGGCAGAUUUUGGGGUAAGUGGCGUGGCGACAUGAUGAACGGACGAUAUUUGAUGCUGGGUGGUGUUUCCCUGCGGCGGAGGCGGAGUACAGCGAGCAGAAGAGGAGGACGAGGAGAGGGAGAAGAGAGAGUAGGAAACGCAUCGAGGAGGUGAGUAGAGUGAAGAUUGAAGAGUGUGGAAUUAAUCUGUGGCAGUGUUAGUCUGGUCGCUGGGGGGUGAGAGGUUGGGUAUAUAUAGGGGGCGUCUGUAGUGAACCAGUGACAGUGGGAAAGUAAACGGGCAAAUCUCCGUUUUAGACUAGGAAUGUUUAACAUUAGGUUAGCCUUGCCUUCCAAUAUCUUUCUAUUCGUUUAGAUAUACUUUUAAAAUAAUUGAAAACGUUUUUAGUGAAAAUAUUUUUAGAUUCCAAAAGCAUUUUAAGUGAUUUCUGCAAUAAACACUAAUUAUGUGCUUCUUUCAAGAAACACUUUAAGUAAUUUUUCAGGAUUCACUUGUAUUUUUACUAAGGAUUGAUUCAAAAAAUAUUAUCACCAAAAAUACUUUCAGUUAUUUUAAAAGCACAUCCAAACUAGCCUUUAAUAGUUUAAUACAAAACAUAGAUCACGUUAAUGUUUUUAAACUAAACUGCUUUAACAGAAGAAAAUAUAAAAAGAAAACAAAGAAUAUUGACAUUCAUAUUUUGCUGUCCGAUCAAGGAAUGAUUAAAAUAACUUUUUAUAUAUAGCGUCAUUCAAUAAUUCACUCAGGACAUUCGAAGAUAUAUUUUUAUCGGUUCACAAUUUCCUUACUUUUGUAAUCUUCUUUCCAAUAUGAGGUUUGGUUUUUCUCGUUUUUCUUUGUAUUGAUUCCAUCUAGGUAUUAUUCUUCUCGAUCACAUCUUAUUGGUCACUUCAUUUGAUUUUGAAUCAUUAAAACCUGUAUUGCUAUUUCUUAUUUACAGAGGAUAAACAACCCAAAAUCCUAGCCAUGCUCUUCUUUUUUUUCAACGUACAUUCAUUAAUAAGAACAUCAUUCAUCAUGAAUACAAUUCAGUGAUUACAAAUGCAACAAAAAGACAAUACAAAUUUUACCCCAUAUAACCGUAAAUCUAACCAAACGGAAGGAUAACACUCAUAAAGACAAAAUCUUGCUUCACUUUCUUAAUAACUUGCAAAAGACGACGCUCAUUCGACAAAUAAGUCAUGCUACGAGACAUCACGGAGAUGUCUUCAUAGUCCUUUGCCAAAAAAAACAACAAACAACGAAACCACAACCAAAACAAAAUAAACUCUUCAAAGGUACGAUUCCUCAAUCAUGGGAUACCCGCACCUAACUAACAAGAAAGAUAAGCUCGCAAUGCCUAAACCCAAUGAGCCGGCUGGACCUAACACCAUCAAGACUCGCAAGGUAAACAUCCUACCAUCACCUGAAGAAUUUGCAACGACAAUAAAACAUGAUUGUGAAUCCCUCAAACCACUGCAACAACCCCUCAAACGAAAGACCACACCACCCUUUGAUGACAAGACUCGCAGGGUAAACAUCCAACCAUCACCUGAAGAAUUUGCAACGACAAUAAAACAUGAUUGUGAAUCCCUCAAACCACUGCAACAACCCCUCAAACGAAAGACCACACCACCCUUUGAUGAUCUUCAAAUAGUCAACAAUCUUACUAUGAGUCACCUCCAACAAACGUGAGCUUCUUCCCAUAAUCCUUGCCAAAAGCACAAACCACAAAAUCACCACUUCAAAUUUGAACAACAAAUAUCACUUUUAAAAUCUGAAGUUGAGUAAUAAGUUAUUACCGCAACAAAAACUCUCAUCCUCAACUAUAAAAACUCUCCGCGACAAAACAAGCAAAAAAUAUGACUUUUCUCUUGGCGUCCGAGUAUCACCUCCUCCCUUUUCCAUUAUGGUGCGUUUCCUUUCCCUAUCUCGGUUUACUUUGUAUUGAUACCGUCUCCUGUAUCAAGAGAAGAAUACAUUACUAUCUAGUUAUUAGUCUUCUCCAUCACUUCUUCAUCGUCACUUCAAUCACAUCUUAACCGUCACUAAAUCGUUGAAUUUUUUUUUUUUUUUUCAAAAACCUACCCACGAUUUCACUCUCUAAUAUUGUUCUUGAAUUUAAAGUUGAAGACAUUAUUUCAAGUUUCAACCACUUCCCGUAAUUCAACCAACCCAUGUCUACAUUGUCCACGUAGAGAUUUCCAUCACCAGACUAUGUACUAUUUUAGAAUGAUAAAUUAAAUGGCAGUAUUGCUAUUUUUGUAGUGCUCAAGUGUCUUUUCUUGUUUAUGGAAUAGUCCUUACCAACAAUGAAGAUCAAAGUAACACUCAAACCGACAUUGACAGCUAUAACGAGUGCUUUUAUAAGACGCACUUCUGUUUAUAUAAAUUCCUUAAACCCAAUUAAAUUGCAUUUUUUGUGUUUUCUUCAAUUAACUUUACAUUUUUAUUUCAAAUGUUAUAUGAUAAAUGGUUUUGAUUUUUUCAAAAAGCUUUUUUUUAAACAAAACGAUAGUAUUUACACUAAGAGAAAUGAUGUGGGCUUAGUCUCACAAUGAGCAGGCAAAAUGUGGUUCAAAUUCGCCUUUAGCGAAAAUCAAACCUAAAACCUCUCGCUUACAAGUAAAUAACGUUUUUAAUCUUUCUAAAAGCACUAACAAACAAAUAUUAGUUAUUUCAAACAUGUAAUAGGGAAUUUAAGCGCCCCGAUUUGUGGCUAUUUUGCCUAGUUUUGGGGACCAGUGAAGGAGAUCCAAAUAAAUGCCCUGGUAGAAUAGCUCACCUUUCAGCCCAUCACCAACCAACUAAAAUAUGCAAACGUGUAUGUAUUAACCAAUAACCAAAGUCCACGACCAUCAUGUACGGUGCAAGCGCACCCUCUUACUUUGCUCCUCUCUCUAAUGGCGUUGUGUCACCAAUUUGUUUUCAAGUUUGUAACCAAGUGGUAUUCAAUACGUGAGGGGAACAAACGAAGACGGAUAUCCUAUUUUUCGGGAACAUAUAUCAUCGGCGACGUCUCCAAACUAAUCAUAAAUAACUGAGAGUCGUCCACCAACACGUAAACAACAAGAUCUAGAAUGCAUGAUUUACUAAAACAUAUAUAUGUAUUGUACAGUAUGAACACAUAAGCUCUAGCUUGUACACUAGAAACAAUGCGUCGAUCAAUGAGAUUGAUUGGCAUGGUUUAACCCUGCAAGAAACGUUGGCGUAAAACUUUUGAUUUUAUUUUUUAUGUUGCAGUAUUCAUUAAUCAUGCUUAUCAUUUAAAGACGUCAACAUUUAUUUAUUGAAAUAAGUCUGAUGAGAGAACGUUAUCUGUUUAAAAUUGUUGGGACUUCACAACUAAUUAUUUGAUGUGUUAUAGAUUAAUGAGAUGUAUUAGAAUUCGAAAAGCUUCGUAUUUGCACGAAAGAAUGUGAUGGGGUGGUGGGAGUUUGAUGGGGAAACAUGGGACCCUUGAUUUUUCAGGAAUUAUUUGCUGAAUUCCGAUAAGAAACGAAACCUUGUGAGCCCAGCAGAGCAGCAUUCCCAAGAAUUGGACAUGUAAGUGGUGAAAGUUCUGAAACAAAGCAUGUGAAUUGCAGUCUGGAAUCCGCUAUAAAAAUUCCUACCCCACUCUUUAAAUUGCACGAUGUUUAUAUAUAUAAUAUGUCAAUAUCUUAGGAUUUGUUUGUAAAUGUUUUUAAAAUGAUUAAAAUCGUUUUUUGUGAAAUUAUUUUUGGAUUCCAAAACCACAUGAAAUUCUUCUUACAAAAAACAUAUAAUUGGUGUUUCUUGCAGAAAGCACUUCAAAUAUUUUUUCAAGAUUCACUUAUAUUUUUACUAAAAAUUGGUUCCAAAAACACUUUUAAAGAAAUUGCUUUCAUCAUUUUAAAAACAAUUUCAAACUAACAUUUAUUUAUUUGAUAAACACAUUAUGCGCUGUCAAUUUCUGUAGGAAAUUUCAUCAAACUUGUCUUCACAAGUUUUGGUAAACACAAACUAACUAAAACUCGUGGGGAUAAGAAGUAUAGAGAUGAAAUGUAGAGAACCUGUGGGAAAGAAAUUCUAUAUGUACUAAAACCCGUGGAGAAAUCAAUGUAGCUUAGUAACAGUGCAUUUCCAGUUUUACACCCGCUUAUUUCAACUUCGCCCCGUUUGCUUCCUUCUUCUAUGCUCCUCCCCCCUCGUGUAAUAUGCCAAACCUUCAUCUUCAACUCGACCUCCCCCUUCACAAACUCCCUCCGGUCCCUUUUCUCUAUAAAUUGUAAUCACCGCCACCACCAGUUCGCUCAAACUUUGUCUAUAAAGCCUCUUUAAAUGCACAAGAAUUGAGAUUUUUGUAUCAUCAACAACAAAGACAUGAAAGUUGUCGCAAGAAAGAAGAUUACCUGACAAAGAGGAGGUUUUCUUGGAUUCUCAUCGUCUCUUGGGCCACCACUUCCACCUUCAUUUCCAGGUGCCUUUUAGGACCUGAUGUUGAACAGAAAUGAUGCCAACCGAAAGCAUUGUAACUUUCCCAUUCAACGUUGCCACGUUGAAGGCAAUAACGACGAGAAAUUUUUGAAGUCAAGCAAGAAAUCAAUGGCUUCUCCCGCAUAAAAAGCAUUUUUCUCACUCUCUUUUACAGUGGAAGAAGCUAUUGAUUUCUUUCUUGGCUUCGACAGUAUCUUCAAAAAUUUCUCCGCCGUUGUUGCCUUCAACAUGGGGACGUUGAAUGGGAAAGUUCCAUUAUCGAGGGGUGUUUUCUGUUCAAUAUUAUGGGGUCCGCAAAAAUGCACCCUGAAAAUGAAGGUGUUGGUGGUGAUCCAAGAGACGAUGGAAAUCCAAGAAACCUCCUCUUUUUUAGGUUAUCUUUUUUCUUGCUAUUAUUUUCAUGUCUUUUGCUGUUGAUCAUGCAAAAAUCUCAUUUUUCACGACUAAAGCUUGUAAGCACAAGGCCAUAUUAGAUGACUUGUAUGUCUGAGACUCUGAAUUGCCGUUACUAAACUUGUGAUUGCAAGAGAGAAAAUUGUUUAUUGGGCCGGCAAUGCCGUGGAAAAAAACAAAACUUCAUGAAAAAAUAUAUUCUCCCAUCACACUAAUUAUGUUUCUGAAAUGAAUGUGUGAAACAACUGUGAUCUUUAGUCAAUGCAAUUCUUAUCUUUUAAGUUUCAAGAAUUUCUGUAAAGCUUAGUAUUUGUGAAAAUAAUUCAAGUGUUUUUUUUUUUUGUGCAAAAAAUUAUUUUUUAUUUAAUUUUUUUUAUUUGGUUUUCACCUGAUAAAAUCGUUUGACAGCACCAGGCUACCAGCUACAUGCCAGGAGGCCCAGUUCAAAAUCUGUGGCGUGUGAGUUGUUUGAUAAAAGGUAGAGUGAAGAUAGGACAAUACUUGCGUUUCACGAAACAGUUGAUCUAAUUAUUAAAUAUAUUGUCACUUAGUACUACAGUAUAAUAGUAUUUCUCUUCACUUGUAAGUAAGAUGUAUUAGGUUUGAUUCUCACCAAAAACAAAUUUGAACCUUUGGUGAAUUUGAACUAUAUUAUUGCUAGUCUCUUGUGAAGCUAACCUCACUCUUCUCUUCCUUAAUGUAGAUAAUAUUGUUUGUUGAAAAAAAAAAAAGGCUAUUGAGCAUAUUGUAUUCACAAAUUGGGAUUUCAUGCUCAAAUAUUUGGGUACCAGUAAUAGUCCAUCUAAAUGUCCUACAGUUCGAGGGAAACUUACAUAUGUAUAUCUUUUUUAAAAAGAGACUUGCAACGAUAAUUUGUAGGAAGAAUACUUUUUAGGGAACUUUAACGAAAAGCAUCUGGUACUGUUCAUUUUAACGAAAAACCACAUUUUUACACUAAAAAGUCAAUCCUGGUACUAUUCACUUUACUCUUUAUUUUGUCCUUAUCAUUAAAACUCAAAGUUUUCAAACCCUUUUCAUUAGUUUUCCUUACUUUCUAACGAGCGUUUGGAAAUAACUUAUAUACAACAUACGUAUAUCUUUUUAGAAGAGACUUGGCCACAAAAAUAUAUGGGAUUUUAGCUAAAAUAGCCUUAUUUGCAAAACACAAUUCCAAAGAAGUCCAUUUUGCAAAAUAGAAUCUGCAAUGGGCACUAACUAUUGGUUAAUUGCAUAUCAGCCCAAAUUUAUUAUUAUGAUAUCAUCAUUAUUCUGUCACACUGUUGUCAUUAGCUCCAAUUUGUCAUAAUAUUAAAAUAAAAUUCAAAAAAUGAUCUUUAUGUGGUUAUUCUUGUUGUAGGCCUAUUUGACUUAACUGUAUUUAAUACAGAGAGGGAGAAGGGUCGGCGACAACAGAGAUAGAAGAGUGAGAUGUAAUUUUGAGGUAUGUGUUGUAUCAUCCUAUUGUGUCUUUAUUUAUAGUAGUAGGGAAGAUUAAAUCAUUACCCUAUUAGGAUUACAACUCUAAUAGGAAUUUAACCACUAAAGAGAAUAUACAAAGAUACUCCUAGAUACACUAGGAUUUACAUAAUCACAUUCCUAAUCCAAUAGAACUGCAACACUCCCCCUUGAGAGUGUAAAUACUCAAACAAAGCAUCACAUCAGAUCUUAAGCAGAUAAGGUAGAACAGUUGAUGAAGUCGUCGGCACAACGGGUGAAUGGGAGUCUCAAAUUUAAAAGAAAGUAUGCAUGGGUAGUAAAACUCAUAAACACUUUGCUCUAGUAAAACCUAAGGCAGGUGAAAACCCAUAGACUAAGGAGAAAAGUGAGAAGUAUGCAUAAUGUCUUAAAACAAACGUCAAAUAGGAUGAAAAUAGUGAACUCAACGGAGUAUGAUCAUCACAGGAUGAGUGCCUCGUUUAAACCUCUUUAGGUAGCAAAACCCCAGUGGGAAAAAUGUUCCUAAUCAUAAGAAAAAUAGUAUAUUAAGAUCAAGUGAGUAUGCUUCAAGAUACUCCUCUUGAGUUAUACAUAACUUCCAAAUAAGAGAAAGUAAUUCAACUCAGAUAAUUUACGCAUACCGAUUCCUUGGACGAGCUUCUGAAAAGUAGACUUAAACAAUGACUUGGUGAAGAGAUCGGCCAAGUUGUCUUGGGAACGGAUUUGCUUGACUUCAAUGUUUUGAUGAUAUUGUUGCUGGUGAGAAUAAAAUAACUUCGGCGUUAUGUGUUUGGUGUUGUCUCCCUUAAUGUAACCAUUCUUUAACUGCUCGAUACAUGUUGCAUUGUCUUUAAACAUCAUCGUAGGAAGGUCAAUGACAGAAGUAAGACCACUAGUGCUUCGAAAAUGUUCCAUGACUGCUUUCAACCAAAAGCACUCAAACAAUGCUUCAUGCAAGGUGAGAAUCUUAGCAUGGUUCGAAAAAGUCGCAACUACCGUUUGCUUGAUAGACCUACAAGAUAUAGCGGUGUCUCCAAUGGUAAAUACAUAACCUGUUUGAGAAUGUGCCCUAUAUGGGUCAGACAGAGAACCAACAUCUGUGUAACCAACGAGGUGAGAAUAAACUCAAGUGACAGAGGGGGGCGGUGGCUUCUCUCAAGGAUUCAUGGGUGUAGAACAAGCCCAAAUCAAUCAUACCCUUAAGGUAGCGAAACAUAUCUUUAACACCAUUCCAGUGUCUGCGUGUAGGCGUAUUGCUGUAUCUAGCCAAAAGAUUAAUGGUGAGAUAUAGGUCUAGUGCAUUGAGCCAAGUACAAUAAAGCACCAAUUGCACUUAGGUAUGGAACUUUAGGCUCCAAAAUCUCUUCUUCAUCCUCCUUUGGACUGAAGGGAUCUCAUUUAGCAUCUAGAGUCCGAACGACCAUAUGAGUACUCGAAAGCUUCGCUUUAUCCUCAUUAAAACGUCGCAACACCUUUUGGGUGUAGUUCGAUUAAUGUACUAAGAUUUCAUUCGAACAAUGCUCGAUCUCUAGGCCGUUUUCCCAAGAUCUUUCAUCUCAAAUUCCAAUUUCAAGUGAACGACGAUUUCCUCAAGCUCUGCGGGAGUUCCAAUGAAGUUCAUGUCGUCGACAUAAACUACAACGAUUGCAAAUCUAGAAUGUGACUUCUUUAUGAACACACAUGGGCAUAAUUCAUUGUUCACAUAACCCUAACUUGUCAAAUAUUCACUUAGAUAGUUAUACCAUAUCCACUUAAAUUGUUUCAAUCCGUAGAGUGAUCUCUUCAAUCUAAUCGAGAAAGUGUUCCGUGGUCUAAAACUAUUUGAACCAGUCAAUGGAAGUCCUCCUAUAACUUUUAUGUACAUUUUUGUAUCUAGAUCCCCAUAGAGAUACGCAGUUACCACGUCCAUAAGCUGCAUAUUCAGUUUUUCAAAAACUACCAAACUAAUAAGAUUGCAAAACGUUAUGAUGUCUAUUACAGGGGAAUACGUCUCCUCGCAAUCGAUCCCAGGGUGCUGAGAGAAGCCUUGCGCUACGAGGCGUGCUUUGUAUCACAUUAUUUCAUUUUUUCUCAUUACGCUUGCUCACGAAAACCUACUUGUAGCUCACGGGCUUCACAUGUGGGGGAGUAGGAGCUACAGGCCCAAACACCUUACAUUUCGCAAGCGAAUUAAGUUCGACCUGGAUUAAUUAUUUCCAGUUUGACCAAUUUGUUCUAUGUCGACAUUCAUCAACGGAACGUGGUUCAAUGUCAUCGCUAAGCAUGAUGUCGGAAGUAACGGUAUAUGCGAAUACAUCAUCGACAAUCAUCUCAUUCUGAUUCCAAACCUCAUCCAAUACUGCGUAAUGGACCGAAAUCUCAUGAUUCUUGGGAGGCCGGUAUGUUUCAUCUAAGACAUCGCCGUAAUCUAAAAUAACCACAUGCGUUGGAACAGAUGAGUAAACAAUGGUUGGAUUCAUACUAUGGUCACUAGUUUGUGCCAUUUUCCUCUUCUGAGGUUGUGAAUCAUUUGAACUAGGGGGGCCUAUCACGCUUCAGGGUAGAAAUAGGUGAUUGGUUAGCUGCCAGUGUACCGAGCCACGUGGGAGGUGCGGCCACCCCACCCUCGGGGACAGUCCGGUUCCAAGGCAGUGUUACGGUGUACGUUAAGUACGUCCAUCUUUGCAAGUGUGUUUGCAAUUGGUAUAUGUGAUCUCAUCACCUUUGCUAGAUCAGUAAAAGCAUCUGGCAUACUUUAAGUGAUGCUCUGAAGAUCUAUAAUACAUCGCACUUCAAUUUCAGACUGAGGGGUAUGGGGAUCUAAAUGAGACAUAGUGGAAGUAAUCCACGAUAAUUCGUGGCGUUCUACAUGAACGUUAAUGAUCUUAUCUCCCCCCAAUGACGGUAAGAUUGUCUCAUCAAAGUGACAAUCCGCAAAACGUGCUAUAAAGAGAUCUUGUAUCAAUGGCUCUAAGUAGCGAGUAAUUGAUGUCAAAUCAUAACCAACACAGUCUCCUAUUUUUCUCUAAGGACUCAUUUUAGUACUUAGUGGAGGCACUAUUGGCACAUAAACGGUGCGCGCAAACACACGUAAAUGCAAGAUGUCAUGCUCGUAUCCAGUAACCAACUAUAACGGUGAAUAAGGUUGGGUAGCGGUGGGCCUCAGGUGGACCAACAUAGCUGCGUGCAAUAUUGCAUAGCCCCAGCAUAUAUUAACAAAGUUUUUCGCAUAACCAAAGUCUGAGCUAUCGUUUGAAGGCACUUUAUGAAAGCUUCUGCAGGUCGUUUUGGGUGUGAACAUGGGGUACAUGAUGUUCAACUUCAUUCCCAACAGACAUGCAAUAAUCGUCAAAAGUCUGUGAUGUAAACUCUCAAACAUUAUCCAGUCGAAUCGACUGGAUCGGAUAAUCAAGGUGGUGAGCCCUAAGCUUAAUAAUUUGUGCUAAGAGUUUCGCAAAUGCAGCAUUGCGUGUGGACAAUAAGUAGACAUGUGACCAUCGCGUCCAUACAUCAACCAACACCAUGAAGUAUCUAAAUGGUUCGCAUGUUAGUUGGAUAGGUCCAUAAAUAUCCCCUUGAAUCCGCUGAAUAAACUUAGGGGGGUCGUGAAUAAUCUUUGUAAGUGAGGGUUGAAUGUUCAACUUCCCCAAGGAGCAUGCUUUGCAAAGCAGAUGGCCGGGAUAAGAUUUUAAGUAACACCCAUGUGAUACUUUGAGGAUACGACGCAUCAUAUCGCGUUCGGGGUGUCCCAUUCGACCACGCCAAAGCAGGAGAGUGUUUUGGAACUUGGCCAUAAGGGCGGCCAAGUGAUGAGUCUCAAUGGCGCAAAUGGUUGUUAUGUACAACCCACUCGGGAGACGUUCCAGCUUCUUGUGAAUACUCUUCUGGCCAUAUUUGUAAGAAGUGAUACUAAGAAAUUCGGAACCAUUCUCUUAUGUGGUUUCAACAUGAUAUUGAUUAUCUCGAAUAUCUCUAAAACUCAGCAGCGUUCUUCUGGAACGUGGAGAAUAUAGUGCCUUUUUAAUGGUUAAUUCAGUAUAAUUGGACAACAUAAUAUUGGCCUUUCUGUAUCCUUCUAUUAGGUUGGAUAGGCCUGAGAGGUGUCAUAUGUGCAUUUUUAGGUACGAAGUUAGUAAAAUAGUGUUUAUCAUGUAAUAUGGUGUGUGUGGUGGCACUAUCAGCCAAAAUUAACUUUCCCACUAGUUAUGCCUAAUCGAAUCGAUCAUAUGCAUAAUUCCAUUCAUUCAAUUAAUCAAUUUGAGAAAUAAUAUCCAUAAAGUAAUUAUCCAUAAUUCAAAACAAACCAAAACCAAACAAAUAAUUCCAAAGACUUAGAAAUUGUCCGAAAAUUAAACCAUAAACCUAAAAUUUAAGGGGGGGUUCGACCAUUCUAGUGGGUUCGGCCACUAGGGGUGUAAAACGCCCUAACAUGUCUUAGAAAAAUAAAACUUUAUUCUUUUAUGAGAGUGGAUGCCUCCUGAAAAUCUAAAAUCUUUAGAGUUGUAGUAAUAUCUUCGGCAUGUUCUAGAAGUGCAAAGUUAGACUCACGACGGGAAUGAUACUUGGCAACAGCCUCGGGGGUAGCUCGGCAUACGUGUGACCAAUAAUCCUUUGAUCCAUAGCGAUAACACAUGUCUAGUUCAGUGGAAGCUGAUUGAAUGGUAGCUUUGCCCCUUGUUCUUGAAGUUUAGGACCUUAAGGGCAAGGGGUUGGCGUUUCUGGGUUAAAUUUUCUCCCAUGGGUGGGCUUCUGUUUUGUUGACCUUGGGCCUGUGGUGGGGCUUGCCGUCCAUUUCCACGGCCAUGACCGGAUUUCCAUCGAUUGUGGUUGCUAGAAUGAGUCGCAUGCACUUCAAGUGGAUCGUUCGACCUAAUGGGUUGAGCUUGAUGAUUCUUCAUCAAAAGUUGGUUUUGCUUUUCAGCGAGAAGUAAAACAGAUAUCAAAUCCAAAAAUUUGGUGAACUUAUGUGCUCUAUAUUGUUGCUACAGGACAAUAUUGGUGGCAUUGAAGGUCGAAUAAGUCUUAUCUAGGAGAUCUUGCUUGGUUAAGUCUUCUUUAUAGAACUUAAGCAUUGAUCGGAUUCUACAAACUUCAGAGUUAUAUUCAUUCACAUACUUAAAGUCUUGAAGCGUAAAUGCUGCCAGUCAUGUCUUGCUUCAGGUAAGUAAAUGUCUUUCUAGUGGUCGAAGCGAUCGACUAAAACAAGAGGGUACGUGGAUACUCUUCUGCGAGGUACUUGGUCUACAGUGCAUCAUAGAUGUGUCUGCGGAUGAAGAUCAUAGCAAUAGCUUUCUGAGUUUCGUAGACAGGUUCAUCGUCGGUAGGUUCCUCGAUGGUAGCUCUAAGACUCUUUGCAAUAAGAUGGAGUUUCACGUCUUGAAUCCACUUCAGAUAGUUUAUUCCAGCGACUUCCAGAGCGGUGAAAUCGAGCCUGUUUAAGUUCAAUAUGUCCCUAAAACAUAUGGUAUAAUGAAAUGUGGUUAGUCAUAUGGAAAGCCAUAGACAUAUAUUGUAGAACAUUCGGGUUCUAUAGACAUGUAUUGGUUUAAUUUAAGCAUGAAAGCUACGGGUUUCAUGUGGUAAGUUUAGAAUGAAAAUUUCGGGUUUCAAAGACACAAAAUUUGAAACUACAGGUUCGAUUUAGUUAUGAACGUUUAGUUCAUAUAUAGGGGUACUUGUAAGAACACAUAAUACAAUAUACAAUAAAAUGUGGUGAAUUUGUGGAUUGCUUCAGGAACCCAAGUGUGAGUGCUUCGGGACUAUGAAAGAUAGUCAAUGAUUCAAAGAAACAAAAUAAUUUAUUGAAUCGUUAAUUGCCAAAAAGUGAACUUCAAGCCAAUAAUUUUGGAUUAAUUGUCAGAUUAAUGGACUGCUGGUCACUUUAAUUAAUUCAAUAGAUCGUAACCAUUCAUGUUUGAUUGUAGAAGCAAAAAUAAUAAUAACAUUUAAGUUAAAAUUAUAGAGAAUGCCAAAAAUAACAUUGGAUUCGAAAAACCAUAGCCCAAUAUCGGUGGGCUUGGGUGUCGUGUGCAUGGCAAAGCCUUAAAAGGGCUUAAUGGGCCACGAGUGUCACAUCCCGGCCCGGGGUCCAUUACAUCCCGGGCUCGCUCCACCACCGUAGCACGAUAUUGUCCGCUUUGGGCCCCGACCACGCCAUCAGGUUUUGUUUCUAGGAGCUCACGAGCAACUUCACCAAUCCUUUCAGUGAUCUCAUAAGGUCCUAAAAACCAAGUAGUGGUCUCAACCCAUCUAUUAGCAAGAAGAUUCCCUUGACUAGCCAGGUUUCGAUCCUGGGACCUGUGGGUUAUGUGCCCACCACGCUUCCGCUACGCCACUCUGAUACCAAACUGACACACCCCGAUCCUAGAAUCAAGGCGUGCUGGCCGUCACAUGAGUGUAACGUAACCAAAAGUGUGACGUGACGUAGAAGCAAUAGGUAAGAGAAUUACGAAGAAAUAAAAACCAAAUACUAGCAGUAAUAUCCAACUAGCAUGCUAGAGUGAAUUUAAGUGUGAAACACACAUAUUCAGAGCGUAAGUACUAGGUGCAGUCAAGUAAGACCAUAACUAAAUUAUAACACCCGAAGGUGAGUCCUACAUUUAUGUAGUCUGUCAGUACGCCGUGGAAAUCCUCGUGGGCCACCAACGCUGCUAACUAGAACCUGGAGGGGCGCAAAACAAAAUUGAGUAGGUCAGUAAAACAAAGUUUUUUGAAAACAUUUCAAUUAAUAACAUUUCUAACCCCUCGCUGUAAAACCUGUAUACUUUCCCAGAAAAUAACAUAAUAUACAUAUAAAUCUUUAUAUAUAUCUCAAAUCACCAAUCUAUAUCAAAAACCAAAAAGUAUGCCAUGUUAAACGUCAAUAACAGAAUAAGGAUGCAUCAAUAUAACAGGUGAAGUAAUGAAUCAACCGGAAACCCUGCAGUUGGUCAUGUACGGUUAAUUCUAAAGCUCAAUAUCCCAUCCAACCGGAGUCACCGCAGUGACCUGUACGGCGCUACUCUGCACAUAAAUCGGAACUACCUGAAGUAGUCUGUACGAUAAGAAGGUGUAAGAAUACGCUCUAGUGCUUCUCUCAUCAACAGCUGUAUAAUAAUCUAAAAUCACCUACAGUCGGAACCACUCUAUGGUCUGUACGACAUGUCAGAACCCUCUAAUGGUCUGUACGACAUGCACUUACUUGGAUCCAAGGUGAGCGUGCGGUGCGAGGUGAAUAAUAUAAGCACUAACACCAAGGGUGCAGGUUAUGAGCUUUCAACACAAUUCACAUCAUCAAUAAAUCAUAUGAACAAUAUAAACUCACCUGAUACUCACCUGUGACGGCCAGCACGCCUUGAUUCUAGGAUCGGGGUGUGUCAACGAGUUAUUGCGGGACAGCCCAAUCAUGGUUGCAGGCCAUGUGCCGUUUCUAGGUAAGCCCAACCGCAAAGGUUGGCUUGUUGUGGUCUCAGGCUAAAGUGCUAGCAAGCCUCGCAUUCGCUGGCUUGGGUUGAGGCGCUAAAAAGCCCAACCGAAGCUGACUUGGUGGUUAGGCCUUGACAUGGUGAGCCCUACAGCCAAGAAAGUUGCUGCUUUCGGGCCGGGGCAAAGGGACGAGCGUAGCAAGCUUCAAGCAUGCUAGUGAUGGGCCUAGGGCUCAUGGACAAACCCAGUAGAGCUUCGGGCUGUGCUGAAGUGGGCUAGGGCUGCAGGCCUAACUUAGAAACCCAAGCAUGCAUUCGGCUUGGCUCUCCAAUGCGUGCAACAAAGCCUAAAAGGCUGCUACAAAGGUCCAUGACGUCAAACGACGUCGUCGCAAGGCGGUGGCGUGGCUGCAAGUCAACCAACUCAGCUCGAUGCCCGCGGCAGCAUGGCAUGAAGCCAUGGCUCGACCGCAAAAAAAUCCCAAAUUUUUUUUUUCAAUUGCUAGGGUUAAAGACCCUAAUUGCUUCUAAAAUAAUUUCGAUACUUUGACUCACAAAUUCCACAUAGCAUAAUUACGUAUUGCAUGAACAAGUAUAUAUAUUGACAAAAUAUAUGAACACAUAUACAAUAUAUAUAAUUGUAAAUAAAAUAUAAAUAUAUAGGGUCCAUGCAUCAUGAGAAAUGUUUUCAUGCUUCAAGGUUUUUUCAAAUGUCUUAAUUUAUUUUAAAAGAACCUGAUUGGCAAAAAAUGUAGAAGAAACCCUCAUCCACGAUCCUUCAGUUCCUUAGAUUCUGGCAAGAGCGUGUCGAUAACGUUUUGUAAGCCUAUUUGAUUGAACUGUAUUUAGGAGAGAGAGGGAAAAGGGCUGGCGGCAACAGAGAGAAAGAGAAGAGAGAGAUGUAAUUCUGACGUAUGUAUUGUAUCACCCAUUGUGCUUUUAUUUAUAGUAAUAAGAAAGGUUAAAUCCUUACCCUAUUAGGAUUACAACUCUAAUAGGAAUUUAACUACUAAAGAGAAUGUACAAAGAUACUACUAUAUACACUAGGAUUUACACAAUCACAUUCAUAAUUCAAUAGCACUACAACAAUUAUAUCAUCAUUAUCUCAUUCUUAAGGCUUCAAAUAGAUCAUUAAUUUGUCAUUUUAUCGUCAUUAACUCCAACUUGUCAUGAUAUUCCAAAAUUUCUAAAAUUCACCCACAUUCCACAACCUCCUCCCACAACUUUUCAAGUUGGUGUGGGGCUUUAAAAUAGCAGAAGUUGAGCUUGGAUUCAAUCAUUCAAGGCCACCAUCCGCAAACCUCCUUCUCUUUGUAGAAAUCGAAUUGAUCCGAUCGAUUGAUUCAUCACUCUUCUCUAUCUCGGAUCCAGUCCUUCCGAGCAUCACCAUUUUGAUGGGUUGAGAUGAUGGGAAUGAAGAUGAGGUGUAGAGGUAACGGAGGAGGAGUCUCCGGAGUUACAGAGGCGAUAAAUGCCGCAUUUAAAGAGAGAAACAGAGAGAAAGGUGUUUUUUGUUUUUUUAAUUUCUGGAAUGAGGAAUGAAAUGGGUUAAUGUGCAAUUAAUCGAUAGUUAGUGGCCACUGCAGAUUAUGUUUUACAAAAUAAACUUUUUUAGAAUUGUGUUUUGUAAAGGAAAUUUUAUUUGAACUCAAAUAGCUUCUUUUUAUAUCUAGUUUACUCUUUACACUUAUAUUAUUUUUAAUUAAAUUAACAGUAUAUAUUUGAACUUAAAUUUACUACCUAAAUUAAUUUCACAACCCCAAUUUAAUAUGUAAAUUUAUCUCUACACCAAUUGAAAAAUUAAAAACCAAAAUCAAAGCAUUCUUUCCUCUGACGCUCUCUCUUAUCAACAGUUGCUUUUGAUGGAGUCUCCAUUAACCUCUACAGUGUUGCUCUCGAUAAAUCUCAUAUUGAUUUGUCUAACCAUGUCAAACAAGCCGUUCCUUCUAAACUACCCUCUUGCAUUUAUUUAUUUUGGCUUCUCCAGCACACUCGCUGGUGUGCAUGUAUUUGAACCUAGAAGCAGGCAAAGGAAGAUGGAAGAAAAGCUAGUUGAGAGCAACUCCAUUUGCUGAUAAAAUUUCUUGUUUAUUUGUACCUAGUGCUGUCAUUUUUGGUGUAAAAGAAAGAAGCAUGAACAUAAACAUAAAAAUUGUAUUACUAAUAAAUUUUUUAAUAACAUGAUUUGCAAUGAGUGUUCAUUUUUUGUUGGGGUUUAAUUACCGGGUGUGAGUUUUUAUUGAUAGAUUUUAUUUUUAUUGUUAAUUUUAUGUUAUAUCUGAUGGUAAUUAUACAAUAGGGUAAUUAUGCAAAGCAUGCUUUCCUAUGUACCUUUGUUGCAGACAAGUUCUCGUGUCCGCGGUCAUUAAGAAUGACGCUUCCCAACGUAACAUAUGGCUGCAAUUGGCUGUGGUUUUGGUGGGAAACACAAAACAACCAUAGCAACUGGACACCUCCUGCCUGGAACCCACCAUGCAAAUAAUCGACACAGAACAGACAUUUGCUCCCCCAAAACAAGAAGAUAAUCUUGCUUGCAACCGAAUAUAUACAUCGCUUUAACAUAAGAGGCAAUGUAUUUCAUUGACACGCCAUUUUCUCUCCACAUGGUAGGCAAGUUGAGACCAUGAUUGCUUACUGUAACAUUCAUUACGUGAUUUACAACAAGCACAUAUGGGCAAAAAUAUGUAGACGCAGGCCUUUAGCCUAUCGAAUUUUUCCGCAUUUUUUCUAUUUAUCCUUAUAGUUUAUCCUAAAUCUCUUUUAUGCACCGAUCGAUCUUACUCGUAAGUAAAAACUUGCAUCAUCCUAUCCCAAUCUACAUUGAAAAGUUGGUUACAUGGUUGCAAUCAGUAUUGUCUAUCAUUCGUAACACAUCCAUAAUAUAACAACUACCCCCACAUUAGUCUUAAUAAUUAAUUAAUUAGAUGCUAUCUUCUCUUACAAUUCAUUGGGAUCGUUGAUAAGGGCUGAAACUUGACACGGAUAAAGCCAACUUUCUUGUGGUUGAGAAUCGAAGGUUGUUAAUGUAAGACAUAUUCUGAAAUCACAACAAGAAGAUAUUAGGAUCACGAAUAAAUCAAAUCAAUAUGAAAUAGAGAUUGACUAAUUAUAUUGAACUUAUCUGUAGAAUUCGGAAGACAUGGUUAUGAAGAUGAAGUCAUUGAUGAACUCUAGGUUGUCUUUUCCUUCCAAUACUUCAAUAAUAUCUCUCUGCUAUAUGAAUAAGGUUUAGCGUAUCUGAGAGAUUAAGCGUAUGGAAGUAGGGACUUAACAAUAGUAUUUAUAUUAUUAGGGUUUAAUCACAACCAGCUUAUUGGUUGUGAAAGUCAAACCCUAUCACUUAAGUGUUUAAGUCCCAUCAUGAUACUAUUGUAGACAUCGAAAUUUCGGUAAAUAAAUGUUGACCGAUAAAUUAAAGUUUCAACGCUCAUGUAUUACAUAAAUUUUACACGUAGCGUGUGACUCAACGAAAAUUGAAAUGAGUUGGAAAAGUCAUCAAAUAGGACACGUGUCAACACCUGGCAGAAACGACUUAUUUCAUCUGGGAUAUUAUAUUCAAAAUUAGGCCUUGGAAAAUUCUAUAAAUACAAGCCAAUUUCAUUCAUUUGGAGGAAACCAAUUCAUAUUACACCUUGAAGCUCUGAAACUCCGAAGCUCUCAAGCAUCCAGGUUCCCGAAGAAUCAAGAAAGCCUUCUUCGUUCUUCGUUCAUCGUUCUUCCAAGAUCAAGCCCCGACGGCUCUUGAAGAAAGUGUUCUUCGUUCAUCGUUCAUCCAAGAUCAAGCCCCAACGGCCCUUUGGAUCAACGAACGUCGACAAAUCCAUACAUCCAACCGUUCUUCAAGAUCAAGCCCAAAAGCCCUUGAAGACCCGUUCAUCACUGUUCUUCAAGAUCAAGCCCAAAAGCCCUUGGAGAUCCGUUCAUCACUGUUCUUCAAAGAUCAAGCCCAAAAGCCCCUUUGAAGAUCCGCUCAAAGCCACCUUCAAGAUCAAGUCCACGGCCCUUGAAGAACGUUCAUCCUUAGAUCAAGCCCAACGGCCCUUUGGAUCAAUCACACAUCCACAAAUACACACCUUACGGAGAUCGAAUCAGAGGAUCAAAAUAGAGAGAGAUUGUAACCCAAAAUCAUCAAAUACAAAUAUUUGUUUGUGCACGUUGUUCUUGUCUCUUUCGUUUCAGGAAUUUUCUGUGUUCACAACUAUAUCUUUGUAGUGAAAUCCAUCAAAUUUCUUUAGGUCAAUUGCAAAGGAUAAGACUCCAUAAUCCUUAUUUCAUGAGGACUAUCAAAUUACUUAAGUUGUUAACAACUCAAUAAACAAGUGGCCUACAAUAAGUAAUCCAAUACAUCAUUCAUUGUCAUUCUGUUUGGACCCAUUUUUACAAUAGCGGUCCGAGCAAUCAAGGCCGUCGGAUGAGCAAGGUUUUAAGCCAUUGAACGACAAAGUGGUUGAAAUAAAUUAUGAUUAAGAUAAUGUUGGGAUUUUAAUCAUAAUUUAUUAAACCUAGUUUUUAUCUAAAACCCCAAUUUGUUCGUAGGAUGGUGGGGCAUCAGGCCAUUUUAUAAAGAAUCAUAAUGCAUUACUGCAUUAUUGGUGAAUGUUUAUGGAUUGGUAUAGAUUUUUGCGCAUGCAUGAAGAUAAGGAUGCCAAUUUGGAUUUAAUCAGCCGCAUGCUUGGCGUUGGUCAGUCGUACAUGCAUAUUAUUGGCAUAUUUCAAGACGGGAAGUUUAUCGGCAGAAAGGGAUAUGAUCCUUGGCUAAGGGAUAUGAGAUAUAAUUUACAACCAGAUGCAACUCCACAAGAUAGAAUCCAAUUAGGACUCUCCAAGAGUAUCAAGUUGUGCCAAGCGGAGGGGUGUAACAUUCACUAUAAGUAGAGAGGGUUGCGCACCAUUCAAAGGCCUGACAAUUCAACACAAAACUGCCCGCAAGCUUUCUCAACAACUUUGAGAUUUUUUCUUUUCCUUUCUCGCUGACACAUCUUCCGUUGGCAUCAACAGCACUGUGAAAGCAACCGGUGAUAUCUUAAGUCGUCAUAGAUAGCUCUGUCAUCGUAGAAUCAGUCGGUCUCGCAGUAUCUUCCGUUGGCAUCAACAGCACUGCGGCGAGGACGGUUGGUUACCUAUCCAAGUCUCAGUCGAGAAGGAUUUCCGGAUCCUGAUUGAUUGAGGUCAUCUUAUUAGCCUCCUCGGCGAAGUGAGGUGUUACAGUAUAUCGAGCUUGGCACAUUGCACGCCGAGUUAUUUUAUGAUUGGAUAUUCCCAAGUGGGAUUUAGAGUUCGGCAUUCGAACGGUCGAACCACGUUCACCAUUAAAACUUAUAUUCGCUUUGAGUAUUUGUGCCCUUACACUUUGGUGUCGAUUUGGCGUGAGUUUACUCUGACGAAUAACAUCACUGUGACUGAAUCCGACGACGACUCGUGAACUUCGUAAGAAUAGUAACCUUGUCUUCAGGUUCGAGCACCCAAGAGGCCGAGACGCGUUCCUUCCUCGGUCGCAAUCGCAAGACGCAGGAGUCAGCCGCGCACCCAACGCAACAUCAACAAAUUUAGUCCUCGGCCGAGCUCGGCCGACGAGUUGGCACGCCCGUAUUCACCGAAGGACGUAGUUAGCUUAUAGAUUAUUCGGCAUGCGCGCCACGUAGGCUUGGUAGUUUCUAGGGUCAACACAUUCACAACCUUACAUUCUCCCACUUGAAUGUCAAUGAUUUAUCCUAACAAAUAAGAACUCAUGGUGAUCACUGAGUCUUCAUAAGUGUGCAACAACAUUUCCUAGCAACCUGUCACUUUGAAUCGAAUGCAAAACCAAAGAAAACAAAGAACAACUUGGUAUGUUCCUUGCACUCCAAGAUCACAUACACAUUCAACUUAAAGCACUGUGUUGCUAACAAAGUCAUGGUGUCAAGAGCUAAUAGUCAAAACAUUAGCUCACAAUAGUCGAACUGAAAAUAUGAAAAUAUAUUUCAGUACAAAAAUAGUUCACAAAAGAACUCAACAAUGUUGGUAACAACAUCCAACUUUUCUGUCAAUUUAGAAUAUGAUAAGAGAACAAGUAAAAUACAACAUACUAUUUACAAAAUCAGGAUCUCUUAUUAAAACUUAUGAACAAAACUUAAACAAAAACUCUUAAAAUAUCAGCCUCUAACGCUUCAAAAUUUUAACACAAAAGAUAAUCUCUUACUCCCACUGAUUAAAAAAGACAAAAUUAUAUAAAUUAUUAUUACUCCCAUUGAUUAAGAGAGUAAAAAAUUCUUUGUAAAGGUCUACAGAAUGAAACAGAUACCUUUCAAAUACCCCCAUUAGCAAAACAUUAGUCAUGGGAUCUAAAACAUAAAAUUUAAAAGAGCUCAACAUCUUUAUUCUAGAUAUCUGUAGGGAAGUGAUUCUUGUGACUGAAAAACUAUACAAAAUCAUUUGGUCAGUUUUGUUCAUCUAACAUUUGACAAAAAUAGAAAACUUUAACUAAAUAUUUUCUUACUGCAUCAAAAACAUAUAAUUCUAGAAUCACCUUUAGACAUAAACUAAUUAUAUUAGGUUUGCAUAGCUAAAACAUAAAAUACAAGGGCAAACGUAUAGCUUCAACACUUUUGAGCUGAUGAAGUAUAUGCAAUCUUGUCAAUUUCAUGUUUCACUAUGCAUUGAUUUAUAGUUGUAUUGAAUAAGAAAACACUUUUGAGCAGAUUAAUUAUUCAUCAAUAACAUAUAAAUCACAAGUCCAAUUUCUUGAACAACAAACAAGAAUUAAUAAACAAAACACUUUUGAGCAGAAUAUACUCAUUGACCAUUAAAAGCAUUAUUAUAACCAAAACUUGAUGAUGUGAGAAGCCCAUAAUAUAUUAUUUCUCCCACUUGGGCAAACACUCAAAAUUGCAAGAUUAAACACUAGAGAAAGUGGUUUUCAUAUAACAAAAUAUAGGCUAGUUGAAUCAAUAAAGAUAGUGUACACAAUCCAUUAUAUAAUAUAACAUGGCAAAUUUGUACAAAGUUUGGAGUUAGAAAAAUCUAUCAAAAUUGUAAUCAAAUAGGACAUGUUGCAAGGUAUGCAAAACUCCAUCAGUAUUUCCCAAGCUCCACUAAAAUUUUAGAUUUAAUCAUAAUUUAAAUAAAACCAAUUUACAAUCUUUAAUAUGCUCAAAACACGAAAAUUUCUUAAAUAAAUUUGCUGAGUCACAAAAUAGUGAUUUGGACAUAAUAAACCAAUCUAUAUGUAUCAAAAUUAGGAUUAUAUAAGGAACAAUAUCUCAACAUCAUUAAUCGAUAAAAGUGACAAGUGAUUAGAUAAACCAAUGGCUACAAAAUUUAUUUUAGUGUAUGAGAGAAAACACAUAUGUGUUAAAGAUUAUGUCAUAAAUUAAAAUGAAACCUAAUAAGGGAAUCCAAACUUAAAAUCUAUGUUUUAAUUCUAAAACAAAGUCGAUUAAAGUAAACGCAUAGAUAUAUCAACAACAUCAAAUUUUCAACAAUAAUUUUAAUCCAAUUUAGAACUCACAGAAAAUUAAGGAAAAAGAUUGGCAAAUUUACCUACUUAUUCUCGAUUCUGAAAGAUUCAUCAUGGAAGUAGUCGAUGUCACAGCCCGUCCCGGAAUUUUAAUUCCGAGGACAUGAAAAGACGAAAAUGCCCUUAAACGGGACUAAGGGGCGAAAAUUUAACAAUUUGGAUUGAGUUGGACACGUGGGAUCCCCACACCCCUCAAUCCUCUCCCUAUUUUCUGCAUACUGUCUCUCUCUCUCCUCCCUCACGAAUCUCUCUCUCUCUGUCACUCUUCUUCUCCGUUCGAACAAACCAACCACAAAACAACCUUAAACUUCCACCAACGACGGAGUUAAGACCACCAUCGAACUCCUGGAGGCUCCACGAUCACGUAGACACCAAUUUCAGGUAAGUUUUACUUCGGAAAACCUAGAUUCUAAACUCCCCGUGAAAGUGCACUGUUCAUGAUCUUCGAAUUGACUUUGUUUUAGGACAAUCCAAGCUCACAGUGAGCUUAGUGAGGUUCCAAGGAAGCUCGGAGUGCUUCGUUGGAAGUUUUUGGACGUAAGAACACGGAGAUCGAUAAGUUCAAAGUUUGGCCGGAGCUUUCGAGGCAUGUUCCGGCGAAUCCCCGGCGAGUUAGGCGUCGAGGUAGGUAUCAAUCUCUUCGUCUCGUCAAGUACUACAACUUUCCUUUUUGUUUCACUCAAUUUCGUUGAGUAUUGAAGAAGUUAUACUCAUUUGAAAAAUACCCAGUUUCCGGCGACCUCCGAGGCUUUCGAGGCAGUUUCCGGCCAAACUACGGCGAACUAGGUGUUGGGAAAGGUACCAUUCUCUUUGUCUCUUCAAGGGCUACAACUUUCGUUUUUGAAUCACUUGAUUUCGUUAAGAAAUGACAAAGUUUAUGGCAAUUUGAAAAAACCGCCCAGAAAAACGGCCGCCGGAAAAACCAGUCCGGCGACCCAAGGAAGAAGAAGGUGCUACAGUAAAAAUAAAAAAUAAAAAUAAAAUUAUUUUUAAAAAUAUGUCGACGUCCGUGACGUCGAGUAGAUCACUGUGGUAUAUUCAUAUACCUAAAUUGAACACCGUAUGAGAAAAGUUAUUGAAGAUUGUUGGUUAGGUGUUCAAAUAACGUUUUAUAGUUUUCACAUUUAGGUGAAAAUGUGAAUUGAUGAUCCGACCGUUGGAUCGUCACCAAACUUUGAUACGUUGUAAUACGUAAUAUUUGAGGAUUAUUGGAACUUACGGAUUGGGAAUCCGAGAUACGGAUCUUCCGGAAUUGGAAUUGUAAGUCCAUAAUAUAAAAUGUUAACCGUCACUUAGUUUUGGAAAUUGACGGAGAUCCGACCGUUGGAUGGUAAUGAAAUUUUAGGAUGUUGUCCUAGAGGUAUAAUGUGGACCUCUGGAAGUUAUGGAUUUAAAAUCUGAGGGGUGGAUCUUCCGGAUCAAUCUACGUAGUGACGUAUUUUAUAUAAGUUAUAUAUUCUAUCGAUAUGAAUUCUGAGGUUGGAAUUGAUUAUUGUUUUAGGCGCCGAUCGUCAUGACGCCUUGGCGUAUUGUGCUAGGGAGUUGUAGGGCGAACUCCAGGUGAGUGGGCAGUUUUGUUUUCCGUAUUAUAUAUAUAUAUACUUAACGUUUUCCCAGAAUGAAUUGAAAAUGCAUGAAAUUUAUGUUUAAAAUUGAAAAUGAAAUGCAUAUGAGUAUGAUAUGAAAGAUGAAAUGUAUGAAAUAACAUGUAUAAUGAUGAUGAUUGAUAAUGUAUUGGUAUACAUGAGCUGUUAUGAAAUCCUGCUCACCUGCAUGGUUUAGUGCUUUAUAGUAUUCACCGCAUCGCACGCUCGCCUUGGAUCCAAGUAGAUGCUAGUCGUACAGUCCACGCGGAGUGGGUACGACAGACCAGUCGCGAGAGUGUUAGUGAGAUUCCGACUGGUGGGUGACCUUAGAUUAGUGUGCACAGAUGAUUUAUGAGAAGCACUAGAGCGUAACUUGUGUGCAGAAGGCCGGACGGGUCACAGAGGUGACUCCGGUAGAGUGAUAAUGAUAGAUUUUGAGCUCUAGGUUCAACCGUAUAGGGCUAUUAGAGGGCCUACGGUUGAUUACUUUUUUCUUGCACCUGAUAUGAAUUAUGAUUGCAUGCAUACCUUAUAUUACUGUUGAGAUGAAUGUGGCAUGGCAUAAUUAAUAUGAGAAAUGUUGAGAUGACAUGGCAUGGCAUGAUUUGAUAUAAAGGAGAUAAUGUUGAGAUAGUAAAAAAUGAAGUUUUGAGAGAUAUAUAUGUAUAUUUAUAUUUUUACAUUUCUGGGAAAGUAUACAGGUUUUACGGAGAGGGGUUACAACGUUUUGAGAAAUGUUUGGAUUUGGAAAAGAAUUGUUUUACUGACCCACUCAAUUUUGGUUUUGCGCCCCUCCAGGUUCAGGAAUCACAAAGGUGUGGUGACUACGAGGAAUUCGACGGUGUUCUGACAGAUUGGACAAAAUUAGGACUCACCUUCGGGUGUAUCAAUUUAAAUUGUAUCUUAAAGCUUCCGUACUGUGCAAAUGGUUACGUCACUCUCACGUGACGGCCAGCAUGCCCUCCUUCGGGACGGGGUGUGUCAGUCGAGUUGUGGAGGAUCGAACCAACUCAAAUUGCAUGAUUGUUACACCUUUGGACAUAAACUAAUCAUGCAAAGAAAAUACAUGCAUAGCUAGCCAAAACAUAAAAUACACAACAUACAUAUAGCUUCAACAGCUUUGGCCAGAUGAAAAUAUGUUAGAAGUACUUUAUGAUUUGCUAUAAUACUAAUUUAUAAUUGGUGAGUGAUUUCCUGAAAUUCCCAUUGGGACAAAAGUAUUUACCAUAUAAAUUAGAAUUCUGAUUUUUAAAAUAAUCCUUUAGAACAGUAUUAAAUAACCGUUUUGUUGGAUAUUCAAUUAUUCUCAAAAGAUUCAAUCAGACACAAAACUAUGUCGUUGUUGACAUUGAACAAUAGAGUUCUCGAAAGAGGAAACAUGGUUAUUCAGUUAUUUGAUAGGGACCAAAAUGAUCAAUUAGUAAAUUGAUGCCGCUUUCCCUCUUAAAAGACAAUUAUCAUUUCAGAAUCAUGAUGACCAAACAAAACAUUGGUUUAAGCAAAACACAACCAAUACAUCUUUAAAUCAAAAUUUAAUCAGUGUUGUCUAUAAAAUUCAUUAGUAUUGAUAAAUUGCAUAAAAUAAGGACAUAUUGGAACCAUAAACUUGUAUAAUAAUUGGUACCAAUAGAUGUGCACAAAUCAGUGAAAUAAUAUCACAUAACAAAACUAGUUUUGAAGUACCAAAAUUCAGCAGUACUUCUUUAGUUUGCAAAUUCACUAAAAACUCAAUUAUCUUUUGAUUGUCAUGAAAAUUUUAGGUAUGCACUAGACAUAUAUGGCUACUAUUUCGUAAAAUUUAAUGAUUUUUAAUAUUUUAAGAGAGCCAAAACUUGAAUUUGAAAAGAGAGGUGCUGCAGAAACUGCAGAAAAUGUUCAGUACAGACUUGAGAUUACAAAUUCACCAAAUAUUCAUUGUUCAUCCGAUAUGCAUGAAAAUUUUCAAACAUAAAUUAAACAUACAAAUCUGUUAAUUCCCAAAAUUUCAUAAUUUUUGAGACUUGACAAGUGUACUAAAAGAAAAUACGAAAUGGGAUGUGCUGCAGAAACGGCAAAAAUUCUGCAGUACAUACCGAAGAUUAAAUAAUUCACAAAAAAUUCAAUUUUCAAACCAAUGCUUGUGAAAAUUUCCAGAUUUGAAAUAAAUAUCUCAAUGUAUAUCAUACUAAAAUUUCAUGAAUUUAUCAAUUACAAAAAUAUAUCAAAAUAAUAUUACAAACACAAUAUUAUGCAGAAGUCUGCAGAAUUCCAGCAACAUGGUAUCUCACUUAAAAAUUUACCAUAAAUCCAUUUCUUGUCCAAAAAACGUGAAAAAAUACCAGCAUCUGAAGUCCAUUUAAUAUUACGACUUGACCAAAUUUCAUAAAAUUUGAAGUUAGGGAAGUCUAUCAAAAACUAGAAUGUCUAUCAGCUAUACGAAAUAUGCACUUAUACCAAACAAGAGUCUGCAAAAGAUUUACGAUGUCAUUGAAAAAACUUCCCAAAAUCUCAAUUAAGAAUCGAUAGCCCAGAACUACUCAUAUAAAUAAGAUACAUGAAUUUCAAAUUUGUCAAAAAUAACUAAAGUCCAUCAGAAUUGCAAGAUUUAUGGUUCGAAAAUAAUCUAGUUCAUUGAAAGCCCAAUAAAAGUUUCCUUCCAACAGAUUUAAUUAAUCAUGAAAUCAAUACAGCAAUAUAAUUAAUAAAUACAAUAAACCUAAAGCCGUGUUGUAAUCCUUCUCUGCCGCACAACGAUAAUUAUUCUGGAAAAGGAAGACAACCCUAUAUACUCAAGAAAACUCCAUAUUCUACCGAAAGGAAGAAAAAGGACAAUUAGCCGGUGACUAAUUAUGAACUCCAAAUUCACCGUGUAGUUAAAAUAUUUCCCCUUUAUUUUCCAUGCCCAAUUUUAAUUUGUUUGGACCUAAAUCCCUAAACAAAAUUGCAGACUCAGUGAUACAAAAUUGCGGAAGCAUCGGAAGCAUCUUUAUGAAGUCUCACAAGAUCGAAUAGUCAAAAUAGCCAACCAAACGAUAAACACAAAUUAUGCUUCACUUGUGUCAAUCAUCUACAGUUAAUCAAAUUACCUGUGAAUCGAACCCUAAGCUUGUUGUGUGGCUCUUAUACCACAUGUAAGACAUAUUCUGAAAUCACAACAACAAGACAUUAGGAUCACGAAUAAAUCAAAUCAAUAUGAAAUAGAGAUUGACUAAUUAUAUUGAACUUAUCUAUAGAAUUCGGAAGACAUGGUUAUGAAGAUGAAGCCAUUGAUGAACUCUAGGUUAUCUUCUCCUUCUAGUACUUCAAUAAUAUCUCUCUACUAUAUGAGUAGGGUUUAGCGUAUCUGAGAGAUUAAGCAUAUGGAAGCAGGGACCUAACACUUAUUAUUGGUUGUGAAAGUCAAACCCUAUCACUUAGUGUUUAAGUCCCACCAUGAUACUAUAUCUUUGUAGUGAAAUCCAUCAGAUUUCUUUAGGUCAAUUACAAAGGAUAAGACUCCAUAAUCCUUAUUUCAUGAGGACUAUCAGAUUACUUAAGUUGUUAACAACUCAAUAAACAAGUGGCCUACAACAUAAGUAAUCCAAUACAUCAUUCAUUGUCAUUCACAACCUUACAGUUAACAUAUUAAAUGACUUAGGGCUGGUUUGAUAUUACUAUGCUUUGAAAAAAAACUGCUUAUGUUGUGCUGUGAGAAUAAGCAGCUGUGAAAUAAAGCAGCAGAGUGUUUUGUAAACUUUUUUGUAAAAGUGCUUUUGAAAAAAAAAACAGUAUUAUAGUGCUUGGUAAAUUUUUAUGUAAAACAAAUGUGAAAAAAGCCGGUUUUUUAAAGUUGGGUUUUGCAGCUUUGUAUUUUUGGCUUUUUUCACCCAAAACUGUGAAAAAAAAGCUAAAGUUAAAUGUUUACCAAACACAAAAAAACUCCCAGCUUUUUUUUAUACCCAUUCUUUUUCAGAAUCACCUUAGUAUCAAACCAGACCUUAGUAGGUGCAAGAGCAUACAAUUGAUUAUAAAAACAAACUCUCUCGUUGUUGAGAACGGAAGAUGACAUACAACUGAUUGAUUAUCCCACACAAUUUGAUAGACACAGUAUUAUAUAUAUAUUUUGGUCAACAGACACAGUAUUAUUUGGCGUUAACCAAUUACAUAACUUACUAGAUACAAGAAGAUAUACAACGGAGACCUAUAUGUCCAAUAAUAGAGACAGAAGUGAUUUGAUGUGCAUGCAAUAAUGGAACAUCGGAUAGUGCCAAUUCUUACAUCAAUUUGCAAACACUCCUCGUACAACCAGCUGCCAAUUCUAUAUAUUGUAUAUUGUAGAGUAAUAUUUGAGAGACCAAAUUUUAUAACAAAAUGAUAUGGUUGUUGAUGAAUGAGUUAUAACUUAAGUAUAAUUAAUGUGUUUAAUUUUUUAUUGAUGACACAUAAUUUAGUUUGCAUAUUUGUUUCAAAAAUUUGAUGUAACUAACAUUACCCUAUACUUUAUAACAGGCACACAAGCAUGCACAAUUAAAUCAGAGAUCAACUAGGAAUUACAUAAAAAAUGCAACAAGUAGCGUUGCAAUUUGCAUUGAUUUGAGUUUAUUAAUCAUGUUUAACCCAACAAAAUGUAUUUACAAGUUCUUCUUCGAACCUUCAAUCCCAAGACCUUAAUACAUAAUUAAGCCUAAAACCACAUGCUAAUCUAACUACCAAACGACACGUCGCUUUGGUUUUGCUGAGCUGGACGCGGUUUCACCAACUAUUCUACUGUAAUCAUCCCAUAAUCUAACGACGUUACCGUUAAGCUCCGUCAAGUCCUGGUACCUGUACCAACUCAUCUCUCCCGUUCUCAACGUCAAAACAUCCUCCCACCAACUAGCCGCCGCCACCUCAUCGCUGCCGCUUUCUUCCGUCUCAUCCUUCUCCGGCGUCAGUGAUGAGGUCGCUGUCAGGUCACUCUCAACGUCACUAUCCUCAAAAUACACCGCAAACUUCGAACCCUUUGUCAGCUGCACUGUGCUGUCACCGAACUUAGCCAAUGCCGGAACAAAGCAUGGUGGCUCCACCUUCUUCGCCGCCGAAUUUGACUGAGUUAUCUCGGGAACCGGCGACGACCCAUUUAAGCUGAGGCCGGAAAUGGCAGGUUGGGAGCGGAAUUUCAAUGCAGAAGAAGAGAUGGCACUGGUGGCGGCGGCUCUAGGUCUGAGCCUCCAGAAGCUAACGGCGGCGGUCAAAACGGCGAUCCAAGUCCACAGAUUGUUCACAACAGUGAACAAUCCGAAGCUCAAGUAAUUGAAAGCAAGAGCUUCGAGAUUAGAAUCCAACACGUUCAUGAUUGAAAUCGAAGGUUGCGAAACAGAGGCAGAGGAGGGUUUUUGUUUUGGUGUUGGUUUAAGGUUUGUGAGAGGUGUGAAGCUUACGAGGUGUUGGUCUCUGGUGGCGGUGAAUUUAUGGGGGUAGGAGAGCGAGGGCGCGGGAGAAUGUGAGCCGUUGGUUUCUUUAGGCCCUGUCCAGUUUGGAUCUCGAUAGAGAGAUGCCAGAAGAGAUGCCAGGAAUCGAGAGCUAAGAUGCGAAUCGCUCAAUGGUAGAUCCCAAUUCUUAUACCGCAUUUUUUCACCACUUGAUUUGAUUGAGUCAUGGCUAGGAACCAAGUGUCGUCUUCCUUUCGUGAACCCCACAGUGAGAAGCAAACCCUUGCCUUCAUGCUCACCAUUAAAAUAGCAUGGUCUAGAAACUGAUAGAAAAUUGUAGGAUAACAAACAUACUUGUGGUUGAUAGGCUUUGGCAGUCAUUUCAGUUAACCACGCGUAACUCACUCUUAGGAAUGUUCCGUUAUUUCAAGUUAGUCACACAUAUUUUAAUUUUUAUAAUGUAGUAUGCUCUUUUUUUAAGAUAAUACAUGGAAUUAUAUAUUCUCGUAAGCAAAGAACCGCACCUUACAGUAAUUUCUAAUAGUACGAACCCCUACAUUAGAAUUCUUGUGUUCGAUUUUUUCUUAGGUAAUAUCAAAUUAUAGAAUAUAGAAAAAAUAAAGGGGUUUUUGAACAUUAGUCCUUGCAAAAUAUUAAAAUUUAAAAAAAAAAUCUGGUGCUAGAUUACAUAUUCAACUUAAUCCCUUGAAGUGCACUUUUAUCAAAAUUUAAUUCAAUUUUAUUAUUUAAUGUGUAUUUUUAUUUAAUCUCUCCACAUUAAAUUUUAAUUUUAUUAAUAUGCACAUAUUUAGUUUUUUAAUUAUAAAUGAACAUAAAUGAGAAAAUAUUAAAAUAAAUUUGUGAUACAAAAAUAUAUAAAUACAUAAAUAACUGUACCGAAAUAUAUAAUAUUGACUUUUUGUACCAAAAUAUUUGUACGUACAUGAUUGUACCAAAAUAUAUUAUAAUGAACCUAAAUGUAUGUACCGAAAUGUAUUAUAUUGAAUUAAUAUACCUAAAUGUCAAUACCGAAAUGUAUGUACCAAAAUGUAUGUACCGAAAUAUAAUAUAUUGAAUUAAUGUACCUAAAAGUCAAUACUCAAAUGUGUGUACCAAAAUGUACGUACCUAAAUACAUUAUAUUGAAUUAAUGUACUUAUAUGUUUAUAUCGAUGGAUAUACAGAAAUAUUAACCUAGAUGAAGAACAUACAUAAUUGUUAUCGGAAUAUAUAUUAUAAAAAAAUUAGUUGCCUAAAUGUAGACAUUAAAAUAUAUUAUGAUGAAUGAAAUAAAAAUUAAAUUUAAAUGUAAUUAAUACAUUAAAAUAAAAAUAAAAAGAUAAAUAAAACAUCAAAAUAUAACUAAUAAGUGAGAUGAUUAAAUGUAAUAGGGACUAAAAUUGAAUUUUAAUCUUAUACAAGAUUAUAGUCUAAAACUCAUCUUUUUUAAGGAUUAAAAUGAAGUUUUCUAAAAAAUGGACAAUCGUGCAGUGUAUAUCAAAGCCAAAUAUGUAUACCAUUAUGGCAUUAUCCAAUCAAGCUUCGGAUAUUGUUGCAUUAUGUGCUGUCUUUUUCUUAAUUCAAAGACUCGUAUCAGCCUGCAUUACACUAGGUAGAGUAUUACCCUUAUUUUCAGUUUAACACAAGAAAAUAAAAUAAAUGUAUGUGGUCUAAUGUUUUAAUGGAUAAAUUAUUGAGUUUCUACUCAUGUAUUUUAGGCUUGAAAAUCCAUCAUUUUUAAAUUAAUGUAAUAAUUUUGAAUCAUCUUCCUCCCCUUAAUAACAGUAACCAAGAAAAACGUAAGAAAAUAAAUAGGAUAAGAAUGAGUAAUGUUAUUCAUGCUAUGUUUUUAUACCACAUUUAUAUACCAUCUUAGGUGGUAUCUGUUGUGGACACCCAAGGAAAUGAGAGAGAAAGACUCCUCGUAUACCACAAGCAUCAUUUAAUUAACUAGUUUUUCUUAAUUAUUAGUUUAUUAAAUAAUAAACUAAAUUUAAAAAUCUAAUUAAUUCAAAUGAUUUGGUUGUCCACAUCAAAUGCUACCUAAGGUGGUAUGAAAAUGUGGUACAAAAAUAUGGUAUGAAUAUCUUUACUCAUAAGAAUUUCAAGAAAAGAAAAGUGAAACGUGACAGAAGGUUGUUAGCUCAGCAUGGAGUUACAUGCACAUGUAAUACUACAUUGUAUUUUGACUUUUGAAUUAGAUUGAAAUGAAUAACUCUAAUUUGAAAUUAGAGGGGGAUAGAAAUAAAAUAAACUUUAAUUCUACAAUUCUCGGGAGAAUUGUAAUUGAUCAGUUUUUUUUCUCAGCAAUCCAUUUAUUUUCUUGAAGAGCUACAAUUUUCUCAUGUCUUUCUUUUAACGUACGUUAAAAUAGUGGCUUGCCCUUUUAAUGCAAACUUUGGUACGAAACAAGAUUGUAUAGUGUUCACAUUCCACACUAAUUAGAAUGCAAGAUAUGAAUGCCGAGCGAACUAAUUGGUGGUUGUGAUUGAUUAGAGUAGCGUUAGGUAAAGAUGAUCUGGUAGAUAUCUUGUCAAAAUGUUUAAGCUUGAUGCAGAACACAAAGUCCAUUAAAUGACAACCAAUUGUAUGGGGAGUAUAAGGUUUAAUUAAACUUAAAAUGUUGUCACUUAGGAAUUUGUUAAGUCUUGUAAGAGUCCCAUAGAAAGAAGAGGUUUAUAAAAUAUUAUAAGCCUUUUAAAGUGUAUUAGAAUGCCUAGAAUGGCAGACUUGAUUAAUUAGUAAAGAAACAUAUUAAUAUAUGCCUUGUACAAUUGAAGUGAGUGACUUUCAUUUGAAGAGUUAUAGAUCACCAAAAAUUUCUUGGAGUCUAGUUUCCAACGCAACAAAUCGUGCAUCAAAUCAAAUUUUUUCUGUGCAGAUAUUGGCAAAACACCACAGAGCAUCAGUGUUGUGGCAAAAAAAAAACAAUCAAUUCCUUAAUGGCCAUGUUUUGAUUUGAGCAUUUCUCGACUUUGAUGCCAUAUAUCAUUUGAAAGCCCUUCCAGUCUAGUUUUUAACUUUCCAUGCGAUUCCUCAAACUGUUAUUUCUACAAAACGAUAUCCUCAAUUUACUAAAGCAUGUUGCUACUGCCAGUAAACAAGGUUAGGUGGGUUCUAGAAACGUCUGCCUCUGAUUUUUCUGGUGACGACUUUCUAAAUUUUAAUCUUCCUCCAAUUUUUAUCAUUGUCUCGAUGGUUCAUGUGAGAUUUGUUGUACUACAUGUAUUGAGGUUGAAAAAUGUUCCAACAUUGAGUUUGGCAUGAACGGGGAACAUAUAGAAUGCAGUGACGAAGUCGAUAACUUUGCUAAAUGGGAUUUUGCCGCAGUUUAUGAUCAUUACGAAGGCGAAGAAGAUGUAGUUGAAGAGUUCCAUGUAAAAAUAUAUAAUGGAGUACAAGCUCUUAAGAUAUGUAGCAUUCAUGAUCCAUUUUGGGACGGUUUCGUUGCUCGAGAUGAAAGGAGAGCUCUUUGAUAGAAGAACUUUUCAACAUGAUUUAAAUUAUCUUUUACUCAUUCACAAGUCAUGAAUGUGAAGAAGUGAUUUGGAAGGAUUAUUCCAAUGUGAUUAUUCUCAAGAAGAAAAGAUUAAUGUGUGCAUGGUCUAUAGGAAUUUGGAAAAUUUUGUUGCUAAAUUGGGUUUGUGGAACAUCUUAGUUGGACAUCCAGAAGAUCGAUGAGAAAAAAGUCAAUUGAAAAUAGAGAACAAGUUCUUUUUUUUUUUUUUUUUUUUUUACAAAGAAGAGUAGAAUGAUGCAGUACACAAAAUUCAUUAAAUGACAACCAAUUGUAUGCGGAGUAUAAGGUUUAAUUAAACUUUAAAUGUUGUCACUUAGGAAUUUGUUAAGUCUACUGUCACUUAGGAAUUUUUUAAGUCUACUUUGGAGGUUGUAAGAGUCCCAUAGAAAGAAGAGGUCUAUUAAAUAUUGUAAGCCUUUUAAAUAGUGUAUUAGAAGCCUAGCUAGAAUGGCAGACUUGACUAAUUAAGAAAUACACAUUUGUCUUGUGCAGUUGAAGUGGGUUAUUUCUCCUUCUAAAAUCAAACAUUUAGUUUAGUUAUAUGAGUGAAUCCACAAUUAACAACGUACAAAAAAACUCUGUUUUCCGAGCGAAUCCUAGGUGACUUGUCCUUCGUCCCCAAAACUCCUUGGACCCUGCACCAAAGCUGAUAGGGUUGGGGAAGUCAUGAUUAAUUGAUGGGCCUAUCUUUUAAGCAAUUACUUUAUAUACAAAUGGUUGGAAAAUAUUAGUAUUUUGAUUUAUUUGAAUGUUUGGUUUUAUGGGUUUAGCCCGUUAGAAUUAGGUUUUGUUAGAGAUUAUGGUUAGUUUAUUAUAAAUAAGGUGCUUUGUUAUUCAUUGGAGAACAAGUCAUUAACAAUGUAGUCUUUUAGGGUUUUGUGGCCAUUUCGACAUUCUCGUUUAUUUAAUAAUAUUCUUAUUAUUUUGUUAGUCUUGUUCGUUCCACACUCUGAUAUUCAACUAAUAGUUUGACAAGUCACACGUAUACCCAAAAAAAAAAAACAAUUGUUAUCUUUUUAAGGCUUUUAAUGCGGUCCCUUGGUUUCUAAUGAUAGAUUUAAAUGAAUUGUCUAUGGUGACUUCAUCAUGCGAUGUAUAUGUAUACAUUUAUAGAAAAGGAAAUUAAGUUGCAGAAGCUUUAGCUUAAUUUGGGGCAAAAUGCUUAUUAGUCUACGGUUCUAGAUUUUGUUGCAUUUGCCCGUGCUCAUGACAUUUCAUUUUGUCCUUAUUAUCGUUUUCGUUGAUCAUGUUGUAUUUGGCUUCUUGGCAUAGUCCCCGGCUUGUAUUUUUUCGUUUACUUUAAUUAUUAUCAACAAAUUUGGUGGAAGAGGGAUAUGCAGGAGGUUUCUGGGUGCAAUCGUUCUCUUCUCUUCGGGAAGGUAGGUGUCUCGCACACGACCAUUGUCGAAUAGCUAAUCUCGUCUAAUUUUUUUCUACCUGAGAAGAAAAAAAAACUAAAUUUGUUUGUGCCACUUAGUAUUACAGUCCAGUGAUUUAUAUUCAAACUUUGUAGAUGAAGACUUUAAUUCCCCUGCCUGUUAAUGUAAAUGUAUUUUAUAUAAGAAAAUAAAAUAAAUAACACAUUACCUAUUACACAUAAGAACAGCCAAAUAUCAUCUGUUGAUGACAAGCGAUAGAGCUUAGAAAACCCGAAAGACAAAUAUGGAAGAACCUAUUACACAUAAGAACAGCCAAAUAUCAUCUGUUGAUGACAAGCGAUAGAGCUUAGAAAACCCGAAAGACAAAUAUGGAAGAAGGGCCAAGAAAGGAUUCAAUCAGAAAAAUAGUUUCGGAGUGGAUCAGGUGAUUUAAGCCCCCGAGUCCCCAUGCCGAAUACAAAAGCAGGUUUGCACAACGAUGAUGUAUUUUAUUUAUUUAUUUUUAUUGUUUUGUGGAGGGGAAUCAAACAUAUGAUACAUCUUUUAUCAAUAAUUUACUAAAUUUAAGGCUUAAGAAUCUUGAUAAGCGGUGAAUUACUGAAUUGCUCUUAUGUAUACUGUAUAGAGUUUUUUUUAUGGGAAAAUUAGGUUCACAUUCUUAUUUUUGUGACUUCAUUGAUUAAAAUCCUAUUCAUUUUUAAUUUUUUAUCAAGGUUCUUGGGUAUUAAUAACAUCAUUAAUUAUUUGAAUAAUAAAAUAUUUUUAUUUUUAAAUAUAUUCUUUUAAUGUUAAAAAUGUUACAAUUAGUAUAUUUAUAUUUAUGACUAAAUUUUAUCAUAUAUUUUUAUUGUUAGUUUGUACCUAUUUUUAAUUUGCAAAUAUUUUUUAAUUUGUACCAAUUUUCUUUUCAUUUUUAAUUUGUACCCAUAUAUUAGUUUCUUGUUGUGACAUAUGUUCUUAUCAAUAUGUGAUUGUGUAAAUCCUAAGUAGAGAUAAAAUAGGAAUCCUUUGGGAUCUAGAAGAUCUUCCCUAAUAUACUUUGUAUUACUUGGAGAGCAAGUUUAUCUCCUCCUAAUUACUAUAAAUAAAGGCACAAGGACUGGGGAAUUAACACACAAUUCCUCAAGUCUAUUCUCCAAUCUCUCUUCUUCUCUUUGCGGCACAUCUCUGUAAAAUAUAUGCCACAACACGUUAUCAGCACGCUCUUCACGCUGUGCUUAGAAGAAUUUAAAGAGAAUUUAUUCGUCUAGAAUCAGGGGAGUAUUACGUUUCAAUUAUUUUAAUUGAUUAAAUCUUGAUUUUAUUGAAUUCAUAUAUUGUUAUUGAUUCAAUUUAUUUUUCUUCUUAUGUUGAACGUGAUACAAGCUUGAAGAUGAAAGCUGAAAUUGAAGAAAUAAUUUUUCUGCAUCAAACCAGUUCAUUCAUAUAAUCACGCAAUUAGGUUCUUCCAAAACAACGGCUUUUAACUCGAUAUUUUUGAAGCCCUGAUAGCAUGAACAUUCACCAUGAUGCAUGACCCAACUUUACGUUUAACGUAUUUUAGAUUCUACAUAAAUUGUGUAUGCCUUAUAACCAAAAUUGUUGCAAUUAUGUGAAUUUGAUAUUUGCCAUGAAUUGAAUCUUACAUAUGUACAUGCAUUGAAACUAUUAUUUGCAUAUGCAUCAACGUAAAUAUGUGAUUCAUUGAAAUAUAUAUUGAAUUUCAUAUGCAUAUAAUUGAAUUAAAUUAUAUUAGAAAUUUUCAAGAAACCUAGGGUUUCUUCCCCGUGACCUCGACAUCACUGGGCUCACGCGAGCCCACAAUAGGAUGCGAAGCACCAGAGCAAAACCCUUGCUCCAAUCUGAAAGAUGCCUUUGGCAUCAAACCCUAACCCACGGUGCCGCCCGAAGUCGGCCACAGCUUCACCACCGUUAUUACUGGGUACUCACACAUGCAGUUGUGAUUGGGACAUAGCCAUCAUCGAAGACGAUGGGUUUUUUUUCAGAAAGCUCAAUGAACACCGCCGGGUUCUUUGAACCCCGAUGGUUCUCGGAUCCCCCGACGUCGAAACCAAAGGUCGCCGUCUACAACUACGGUUCCCAGUUGAACCCACAGGCUUCGCCAUGCCUUAAACCCCCGAGGACAGUCGCUCAAAGCGACGCCGGCAUCCCCCCGGUUCGAUUCCGACACCCAGCGCCGCUGGGGUGUCUUGAAUCCCAAAAUCCGAGCCCUAGUGGGCUCCUGUCCCUCGGCCUGCAUCAGCGCCUUUGGGCCUGCUGCUAUUUUGAGAUGUCACGGCCUAACCCGUGCGAAAGAAAAAAAAAAAAUUUUGUUUGUUUCUGGGCUCGCUUGUAGCGGCCCAGCCCGAAAAAAGGGAUUUUUUUUAGUUUUCUUUUGGGCGUGCUUGAUGCAGCCCUUUGUGUGAAAAAAAAAAAAAUUGGGGUAUGCCCGCAACAGCCCAACCCCAUGCUGUCCCCGUGGGCCUGCAGCCCCACCCGAGACACCCUAGCCCCAUUUUGGGCCUAGGUCACACGACACCCAUUUGUUUACGCCACCCCGUGGACUUAAUUUUUCUGUUGGGCCCCACAUUUUAUCUGCCUAAUUAUUUUUAGGCCCAAUGGGUUUUAUAUUUUUUUCACCCACAUUUUAAUUUGGCCCGAAGUCCAAAUAAAUUAAUUCAAUUACAAUUAUAAACCUGAAGUUAUAUCUUUGUAUAUCCUUGUUGUAUAUUUGCUUGCAUAUAUAUAUAUAUUUGUGUUUGUCUGCAGGUAUUAUGAACUUAAAAGUUCAUACUUCCGAACCCAAAGUUUCGGAAAAGUGCCAUAUGAACCUGAAGUUUCUUAAUGCGCAACACUCAUGUUGAGACCCGAAGUUCUCCAUGCUUAAAUCCGUUUAAACCAAACCAUGUCUUAGAACCUGAAUGUUCUAAAUUUGUUGUUUAUGGAAAUUUUAUUUCCUAAAACACCAAUCACAUUCUUGUUUCCUCCAUUCAGCGUAUUGUCAAACCGUAACAAGUUCGAUUUCACUGACUUGGAAGUUUCGAAUAGUAAACUACUUUAUGUGGAUACAAGACGUGAAUAAGCAUCCGUCAAGAUCCUUAUUCGAAGAAUUAUGCUUGAAGCAUAUCCAAUGGAAGUACCUCCAUGCUGAGGACUCCAUGACUCUUCAAAUCCAUUAUGGACUGUUUCAAAUCAUGCAAAGAUGAAUUUUUGCCUGAAGUAAAACAUGAUUGAAACUGUUACGUCCAUGAAUAGGUACAAUUCUCGUAGUCCAUUUGUGAAGACUCAUUUUGCUCCACCUAAUACAUUUGGAAGAGCGAAAUUUGAUAUGGACGGCCUAUUGGCCGAACCCUAUGGUUUUUUUUUGGUUUAUUUUGUGAAUAAUUUAUUUUGUUCUCGGAUUUAAGAUUAGUGUUUGGAUGUCACCAUUAUUCUCGAAUAAAAGAGUUAAUUAACGAAGAUUACCAUAUGUGACUACAAUUAACUCAUGCUUAGGUAUGUUUUGUGGGGAAGUUAGAUGUCUAGUUCUAUGCUAACUUCAUACCUAAUCAUCCCCUGACAACCUUUCAGGCUUAUCCAACCUGAUUGUGGGGCAUGGCACUGCCCUAUAUUGUCCAAUGGUAUUAACUUUACCAUAAAGGGAAGCCUUAUACUCACUUCGUUCCGGAAGAACGCCCUUUUGAGCUUUAAGGAUAUUCGAGAGUAUUAUUACCAUAUCGAAACCAAUGUAGAAAAUGGAGUAAAAAUUCCUUGGCAUAUCACCAUUUUUGCACUUCCUACGAAUAUAGUUAAAUGCAUAUUCUAGAGAAGAUGGAACGCUUAACGAAUGGAUUACAUCCAUUCAGCCCCAUUAUAUGGCCGGCCAGAAGCCCGCGAUUCCUAAGGAAUUUUCUCUAUGGAUGUACGUUUGGGAUAUCUAGGAUGAUUCGUGAUGCGCCGUUUUGGGCAUCCUUUUACCAGAAGUAAAGAAAUCAUACAUGGGCACGUAUUAUACCUUAGCACCCUCCAUCUUUUUACAAAGGAUUCCAAUGGGACAUUUGUGGAUAGAUUCAACCACCCUACGGACCAUUUAAAUAUUCUAUAGUAUUGGUUGAUGUUUCUACACGUUUGUCACACGUGUGGUUGUUGUCCACAAGUUGCAUUCUCCACAUUGGUAGCUCAGAUUAACAAGCUCAGGGCUCACCACCCUGAUUAUCUGAUCAACUUUAUUUGAUUGGAUAAGUUAGAGAAUUUACAUCGACAUUUACAUCGAACACUUUAAAUCUCGAUGGAUAUUGCAUGUCGGUUGGGUUUUUUUGAAGUUGAACAUCCAGUCCCAUGUUCAUACCCAGAACGACCCAGCAGAAGUAUUCAUUAAACGCCUUCAAAUGAUUGCGUGGUCGACUGGUCAUACGUACCACAGUUCCCGACCUCUGCUUGGGGCCAUGCAAUAUUGCAAGCAACCAUGUUGGUCCGCCUGAGGCCCGUCAAGACCCAACCUUAUAAAGCGCGUGUCAGUUGGUUACCAGAUACGAACUCGACAUAUCGCAUCUGCGCGUCUUUGGUUGUGCGGUCUAUGUGCCAUUUGCGCCGCCCUUACGUACACAAGAACAAAAGGGUCCUCAGGGAAGGAUGGAAAUCUAUGUCGAUUAUGAUUUUUCUUCUAAUAAUCGUUACUAAAUAACCUUUGACAGGCGAUCUCUUUACCGCUCGUUUUGCGGAUUGUCACUUUUAUGAGCUAGUCUUCCCGUCGUUAGGGGGAGAUAAGAACGUCACCGUCCCUAAAGAACGACGCAAAUUAUCGUGGACGUCCCAACUAUGUCUCAUAUCGAUCCCAAUCUAGAUCGUCAGAAUUUAACUAGACACUUCCUCUGAUCUAGAAAAAGUGACAAUAUCACAUAUACCAGCUGCAAAUGUGCCUGCAAAGAUGUGUACCAAAUGUACUUCGGACCUUUGUCCUGAAAGUAGGAAAACCACAAUUGUGGCCGACCCUCGUACAUUGGCGGCUAGCCAAUCAAUCUAUCUUAUGCCAGAAGCAUGGUAGAUAACUCGGUUCAAGGAUUCACCUCCCCAAAAGAGAAGGAACGUGGCAGGAAUGAAUUCGUCCCUCGAUCGCGGUCUCAGACCUUUUCAUCUCAUGAGAUUAAAUCUGGAUUACUCCCGAGACCUGAAGUUCUUGGUCCAGUAUACUAGUUUGGAUGAGAUAUGGAAUUGGAAUGAGAUUAUCAUAAAUGAUGUUUCAUUUAUAUGGUACCGACAUAAAUGAAAAGCGACGAUAACGAACCGCAUUCCGUUGAUUAAUAUCAACGUAGAACUGAUUGGUCAACUAAAAAAAUCAAUCUAUGAUGAAUGAGAUGAAUGAAAUAGUGCAAUAUGACGCCUUGUGGUGCAAGGUUUCUCUCAUACGCCAUGUGAUUGAUUGCAGCAUUACAAAUGUGGUUGUAGUAUCUCUGGGAUCGUGAUAUGAACCUACAUGGAGUUUCCAAAAGACUUACAUGUACUGAUUCAAAUAGUUCUAGACCACAAGAACAUCAUCUUGAUUCCCAAGAAGCCUUCACUUUACGGAUGCAGAACUAUCCGGGCGGAUGUGGUAUACCCGUCUAAGUGAAUAUUUGAUCAGUUAGGAAUAUAUGCCCCUGCGUGUAUAAAAUCCAAAAUUGCUAGAGUUGAGCAAAUUAACUCGCAUGUCGGACUAUAAGAUGAAUGAUCUUGGGAGAACUUGACAUUACCUCGACCUGAAGUUUCGAGCUAGUUUUGAUGGUAUUCUGGUCCACCACUCAAACUAGACCCAGAAGGUGUUAUGUAUGAGUAUAUCCCGAUCAUUUGUAUGCUAGAUGCAAAUGAGACCUUUAACGGAGGGUAUGGAGCAUAAGGUUCCAUAUUGGAACGUGAGGCAGCCAUAUCUAAGUACCAUUGGCGUUUGUUGUACUUAGCUCAAAUGCACUAGAUCAAACAUCUUAUGUGCUGAUAAUCUUUUGGCAUAAAGCAGCACUGCGCCUAACACGCCGCUACCAAAUUUGGUGUUAAAGACGUUUUUUUCCGUUACUACGGAUUUGGGCUUAUUCCCUAUACAUCUCAGAAUAGAUCACACCCCCUUGAUCUUCGGAAUGAUGCCUACCUUGUGGGAUUCGCUGAAUCAGACCGUCUAUCUGAUCACACAAGGUACGUUCCCGCAUGGUUAUGUCUUUACCAUUAAGGAACACCGCAAUAUCUUGGAGGUUAACUAGAUAGACCUUUUGUUGCGAAACCUUUGAAUCAUUCCAAGAUUCACUAUGUCUCAUCACGUGAGAGAUAUGGUCGAGAAUUCUUGUUGAGCAUAUUCAAAAUCCCUGCGUUUUUCAUCCAUCAUUGAGUCCCAACAACGAUCCAUGAAUACAACGCUGUAUGUAUCGACCAGAUCAUGAUACAUCCAACAAGUCAACACCAAGCAUAUUGUGUCUACAUCAGCAUGAGCAUCAGAAGAUUGAAGUCAAGCAGUCCAAUCCCAGAUAACUUUGCUGACAUCUACACGGAGUCACUACUGAAGUCUACAUUUCAGAAGCUUGUCCAAGGAAUUGGUAUGCGUAACUUUCUCAUUUGCGAUGCUUGUAGUUUCAUUUGGAAGUUUUGUCAAACUCAGGGGGAGUAUCUAGAAGUAUACUCACUUGAUCUUAAUGUACUCUUUUUUCCUACGAUUAGGAGCAUUUUUCCCACUGGGUUUUUGCUACCUAACUAGGUUUUAACGAGGCACCCAUCAUAGGCUGAUCAUACCCUUGUGAGCUCUUCUACUUGCGUCCAGAAGACGUAUAGUUUUGACUUAAUGCAACUUCUCACUUUUCUCCUUAGCCUAUGGGUUUUUCUCCCACCUUGGGUUUUGCCAUAGCAAGGUUUUGUGAGUUUUACCACUCCUGCAUUCUUCCGUUUGUUUUGAGACUCGCAUUCGCUACUUGUGCCGACUAAACGAGACGAUUUCAUCCACUA